GACGAACGCUGGCGGCGUGCUUAACACAUGCAAGUCGAACGGAAAGGCCCUGCUUUUGUGGGGUGCUCGAGUGGCGAACGGGUGAGUAACACGUGAGUAACCUGCCCUUGACUUUGGGAUAACUUCAGGAAACUGGGGCUAAUACCGGAUAGGAGCUCCUGCUGCAUGGUGGGGGUUGGAAAGUUUCGGCGGUUGGGGAUGGACUCGCGGCUUAUCAGCUUGUUGGUGGGGUAGUGGCUUACCAAGGCUUUGACGGGUAGCCGGCCUGAGAGGGUGACCGGCCACAUUGGGACUGAGAUACGGCCCAGACUCCUUCGGGAGGCAGCAGUGGGGAAUAUUGCACAAUGGGCGGAAGCCUGAUGCAGCAACGCCGCGUGCGGGAUGACGGCCUUCGGGUUGUAAACCGCUUUCGCCUGUGACGAAGCGUGAGUGACGGUAAUGGGUAAAGAAGCACCGGCUAACUACGU
rnacentral:rRNA from 1 species